AACGAACGCUGGCGGCAGGCCUAAUACAUGCAAGUCGAACGCCGUAGCAAUACGGAGUGGCAGACGGGUGAGUAACACGUGGGAACGUGCCCAAAGGUACGGAACAACUCCGGGAAACUGGAGCUAAUACCGUAUGUGCCCGAAAGGGGAAAGAUUUAUCGCCUUUGGAUCGGCCCGCGUCUGAUUAGCUUGUUGGUGAGGUAAUGGCUCACCAAGGCGACGAUCAGUAGCUGGUCUGAGAGGAUGAUCAGCCGCACUGGGACUGAGACACGGCACAGACUCCUACGGGAGGCAGCAGUAGGGAAUAUUGGACGAUGGGCGAAAGCCUGAUCCAGCCAUGCCGCGUGAGUGAUGAAGGCCCUAGGGUUGUAAAGCUCUUUCACCGAUGAAGAUAAUGACGGUAGUCGGAGAAGAAGCCCCGGCUAACUUCGUGCCAGCCGCCGCGGUAACAC
rnacentral:rRNA from 1 species